rnacentral:rRNA from 1 species
UACGGAGGGUGCAAGCGUUAUCCGGAUUCACUGGGUUUAAAGGGUGCGUAGGUGGGUCUGAAAGUCAGUGGUGAAAUCUCCGGGCUUAACCUGGAAACUGCCAUUGAUACUUCAGGUCUUGAAUUUUCUGGAGGUUAGCGGAAUAUGUCAUGUAGCGGUGAAAUGCUUAGAUAUGACAUAGAACGACCAAUGCGAAGGCAC